rnacentral:rRNA from 1 species
GACGAACGCUGGCGGCGUGCUUAACACAUGCAAGUCGAACGGAAAGGCCCUGCUUUUGUGGGGUGCUCGAGUGGCGAACGGGUGAGUAACACGUGAGUAACCUGCCCUUGACUUUGGGAUAACUUCAGGAAACUGGGGCUAAUACCGGAUAGGAGCUCCUGCUGCAUGGUGGGGGUUGGAAAGUUUCGGCGGUUGGGGAUGGACUCGCGGCUUAUCAGCUUGUUGGUGGGGUAGUGGCUUACCAAGGCUUUGACGGGUAGCCGGCCUGAGAGGGUGACCGGCCACAUUGGGACUGAGAUACGGCCCAGACUCCUACGGGAGGCAACAGUGGGGAAUAGUGCACAAUGGGCGGAAGCCUGAUGCAGCAACGCCGCGUGCGGGAUGACGGCCUUCGGGUUGUAAACCGCUUUCGCCUGUGACGAAGCGUGAGUGACGGGAAUGGGGAAAGAAGCACCGGCUAACUACGU